rfam:Ciona savignyi cont_17268, whole genome shotgun sequence.
GGCGCCAUGGCUUAGUGGUAAAGCCCCUGUCUAGUAAACAAGAGAUCCUGGGUUCGAUCCCAAGUGGUGCCU